GUGCUCGCUUCGGCAGCAUAUAGACUAAAAUUGGAACGAUACAGAGAAGAUUAGCAUGGCCCCUGCACAAGGAUGACACGCAAAUUUGUGAAGCAUUCCAUAUUUUU
ensembl:snRNA U6 U6 spliceosomal RNA